GCAAAAACUGUUUUGCAGUUUUCAUAUGCUUCUGGCAGUUUCUUCUUUCUUCUUCUACAGCCAAAGAAUUGACUUCCGCCGGUAUCUUCUUUCUUCUUUAGCCAUAUAACUAAGAUUGAGAGGGUGGAUUGUUGCUUCUGCAAAUCAUUCCUUGUUUUUGAUCUGCGAACUUCGAUUUGGUUCCUGCAGUCCCCUUUUUUCCCUUUUUCUCGCUCUCCUCACUGUGAACUCUUUACCUGAUUUCUUCAUAUGCGAUUGAUUUAGGAAUUGGGCUCUGCUAUGGCAGUUUGUAUCAAAACCAGGGACUCAGGAGAAGCAACGCAUUAUCAAAUCAAAGGGACUGAGGUCAAAAUUAGACGGUAGAAGUUCCAAGGACCAUAGUCCAGAUUAAACAGGGGGCAGGAUUCAGUAGAUGGCUAUUCAUUUGGGGCUUGAAAAUUAGGGAGAUGAAAUAAAUUGUGAAAAUAGCACAACUGAAGUCAUUAGUUUUGUUUUUCAUUUGAUUUGAGCUUAGAAAAAUAAUGUCUGCAGGGAAGUGUAAUGCAUAAGCUUUUGGUAGAAAAUGGAACUUCAGCAUUCUUGAGAUUCAUGUACAAGUUCUCUUGCUGCCGAGAGAAAUGAAAGUUUGCUUUUAUUGAUGUCUAAACUCCUUAUGUUAUGUUUGCACUUCUUGAUAAGAGAACAAUUCAUUUUUGCACUCUUCAUUA